rnacentral:precursor_RNA from 8 species
CAUCUACUGUCACAGCUCUGGGUCCUGAUUCACAUUCAUUGCUGUCGGUGGGUUUUAUCUCUUCGACUCGCCGGACAAUGAAUGAGAACUACGGCUCCUCCUGCGCUAAUGUGAAACG